CACUGGGACCUUUGCUAUUCUUUCUUCUUCUACUACUCGUUUUAAUUGUGACUGAACCAGAAAAUCAGCCACCAUCAUUUUCAUUCUCCUCUCUGUUUUUUCUAUUUCCUUUCUCAUGGCUCCCUAUUUACUUGUUUUUUCAUUUUUGCAGGGUUCCUUUUGCUCAUCACCACCUUCUUCAUAUUCCCUCUCCAACCAUGGACGUGGGAUCGUGGAGUUCUUCUCCCUCGAAGAUGAAGUCCCGAUUCUCCUUCCAAGAUCGCCUUAUCCGUAGAAAGAAUUCUCAAGAAAACAGUGGAUGAACAGUUCUCUAUGGUCCACCCCCUCCGACAUGAUGGUCGCCGGCCUCAGCCUCGGUCCUUGGUCGUUUCAUGGCUGGGUGGUGUCGCACGCCCUCAACGGCGAUGAAGAAGCCGCGAGAGUUGGCUGCAGGGCUACGACUGGUUCACGAGACUUUGUUGGCAUUGAUAAGACCAGCCAAAGAGUUUUUGAACAAACAAGGAAAGAGAAUUCUACUGAUAUUUUGAAGCUGGAAGUAUGUGAUGCUCUGGCAGAGUACAAGUAUGUGAGCAUCUUUUACUGAACUUUUAUUGGUUAAUUCUUAUCUACUAAUAAAAUAUUGUGAUUUACUGAAAAUGAGAAUGUUCUGGAUCAAAUCAUUGAUUCUUUAACUGCUAUUGCUAAUCCAACUGAAAAUGAGAUUUUCAAAUCAAGAUUCAAGUAAAAUUUCACUUAAGCUUGGUAAAGUCAAAGAGAAUGGCAUAGAGAAGGAAUUUGAUCCCUGAAAGAAGGCUGCGGUAUUAAUUCUUGGUGCUGGUCUGGUCUGUCAACCAGUUGCCAAAAUGUUAUCAUCAUUUGGAAGGCCAUCAUCGAGCCAAUUUGAUGGAUCAUGCCAAUUUGUGUAAGUACAUUGCACAGAGCAAUGCAUGCUGCAACAGUUCCAAUUCACCCUCUUGUGAUUACAACCUGAUCUAUCAACCAACUAAAGAAGAAAAACAAGAAGAUGUCACUCUAGUUAAAGAGUCCAAGGAAGAUAUGAUGAAAGAGUAUGAAAAGGCAACAUUACGUCUUGAUAAAGCUCAUCUGUAUGUUGAUCUCUGGGUCUUGAAGAUAUAUACUAGCAAGGGGAUACACCUAUUGUCCAGAGGUUAGUUGAGUUACCUUUCUUACAUGGGAAAAAAAUGCUUUCAAGACAAUCCUUUGGUGAGUUAACUAUGGUGACUACUAAAAAGUGAGAAUCUUUGGUCAAAUUUUGGAUACAUUUUAUUCCUGAUUUAUACGAAGUAGCUUUGCUUUUACUUCUUUUUUUUCUUCCUCCAGAAUGAAUGACUAAAAG